CGGGCAGCGACGACACCUCCUGCAGUCCUUAUCAAUAGACGGUUCAAGUGCUCUUUUGCUUUGUCCUGCACUGGUUUCCUGUGUUGCAUACCCAUCGCGAUGGCAUUCGUUCGGUUCAAAAGAUUUCUCCGUCCAGCACGCGUUGCAUUCCGUUGGGGAUGCAUCGUGGGGGGGACCGUAAAGCGAACAACGAGUCCCACUUUCCUUUCGCCUAUGGUGCUUGGUUUGAUGGAGCUCGUUGUCUUGCUCGAUCUCUCGGGUGUGGUAUAUAUUGUGGGUACGAGGCCUCUGUUCUCUACUUUACCCUAUAAUAAAAGAGCGUCCCACGCUUCACGCAAACGACAGUCGCUGCUGUAUUGCCUCGUGUCCUUGCGGCUCGAGUCAUGCGGCUUUGCCGUCGGUGAGGAAUGC
rnacentral:misc_RNA from 1 species